rnacentral:hammerhead_ribozyme from 1 species
AUCCAGCUGACGAGUCCCAAAUAGGAGGAAAGGCGCGUCCUGAAU